UAUACCCGAGCUCCAGGAGCCUGGCUGCAGGCAACUGCCUCCAAGUGCAUCCUGACCCAAGCAGCCUGAAUACCAAGAGAGACAUCGGCCAGGAGGCUGCUGGAAACACACCCACCUCCAUGCACCUCAGAACAACACUGCGCAGAGAGAAUCCCUAAAUCAGUCCCAGGCUGGGCACAAGAUCUGACAGAUCAAACGUACUUCAUGGUGAAGAGUUUUGAAUUUUUACACAGCUGUCCAGACACUGUGAAAGGAGUUUUCCCUCCUGGACCUGUUAUCAAUUUGCUGGUAGUUCUAAAGAAGAGCUGGAAAGCCAGUAUCCUUGGGUGUCUGAUUCAGAACAAGCUGGCUCCUUCUGCUUCCUUUCCCAGAGCUUCACACGUGUGGACUAUUUGGCAGCACGCACGUGUGUCCCUUAACCAACUGACUGACUGGAGGCGGCGGCAGCAGCAGCAGCAGCAGCAGCAGAGGAAUCGGCAGCGGGGGCAGCAACAGCUGAUCCCCCAAAGGUAAGUGGGGCGGAGGGACCCGGCACAGCUGAGCCGGAUCCGGAGGGGAAGCCCCCCGGGUCCCAUAUAGCUGAGCCGGUAGGAAGCCGCGCUCCCGAGCCACGCAGCGCAAACAGAGCGCGCAAACAGGGAGGGCUCUGUGAGAGCGCGCCGGCGUUUGCGCAGGCGUUCGCACCGGCGGGCGGGCUGGAAGGGCCAGGAGUGGGACUCCUGUAGGGGUAGGGAGUAGACACCACACAGGUCUACAAACAGCAGCUCAAAAUGGUGUCUAUGAGGAGUGCUGCUAGGGCCUUUGCCCAGGGGGACAAGGCUAACCAGGGCUGGUCUGAGGCCUCCACCCAGACUGAGCCCAUGGGGGAGCUGAUGUCCCCCUACCUCCUGGCCUGUGGGGGAUCCCCAGCAGGGCCGGGGGGGCAGGGAUUGGGGGCCCCCACACCUGUCCGGCAGGUGCCCGUCUUAGGGCUCUGGAGGCGCAAGUGAGGGAGCUCUGGGAGGAGGUUAGCAGGCUGAGGGGGAUCAGGGAGGUGGAGGAUGAAAUUGAUAGAUAUUUCCUUUCCCUGCAGGACCAGGCACUGAAGGAAGAAGCAGCCCGGGGAAAGCCCUCCGCAGCAGAGUGGCAGACGGUCACAGCCAGGACCGGAGCAGCUCGCAGAGACUCAGUACCAGCUUCUCCAGUUCGACUGGAGAACAGGUACGAGGCCCUGGCGACCCUGCAGGAGAUGGAAGAAGAGGAGGAAACCUUUGGGCAGGAAGAAACACCACAUUCUUCACACUCCGAACAGAUCAAGAGAUCCAAGAGGACCCAGAGGAGGAGGCGACGAGUGCUCGUCAUAGGUGACUCCAUCCUGAGAGGCAUGGAAGGGCCCAUCUGCCACCAGGACCCCUCAGCACGAGAGUGAACGGAUGCGGAAGACGGCAGGAGAACUGCAUCCGAGAGACCAACUGGUGGCUUCGGCAGUGGUGUCUCGAGGCAGGCUUCGGCUUCCUGGACAAUGACCCGCACAUCACGACGAGGGACAUGCUCAGCUGGGAUGGGCUUCACCUGUCCCCCAAAGCCAACUCAAGUCUCUAGAAGUUAAAGGCAGAGUUAUUGUUGAACUGCAGAAAGACCUAGAUCGUCAACCAAGUGUGAUAUGCAGGAUGGAAAUAAAAUGUAAGUAGGGGAACUGCCAGUAAUGUGUCAUGCAGAAGUAUUCAUAGCUGCAUUAUUGUACUCAGAGAUCUUUAGUAUGUAGGAAAACCUUGGGAACUGUCCUAGGAGAAAACAAAGUGGUAAACUUCCAGGUCAUUGUCCAUUCCAUAUAUGCACCUCCCCAGGAGAGGGUCAGAUGUACUUAUUCCCCAGAGUUCUUACCUUUCUUUUCUGAUCUGCCUGUCAUUUACUUACCUAUCACACCUUGAUGGGAUAAACUGACAUGACCUCAGCCUCAUAGGGCACUGGGGAUGCUGAACACUGGGUCUGUGUCUGGCCAGGUUUACCUAAGCCUUGCCCAAGUUUGCUCUACCUGCCCUGGUUAGCCCACUGUUCAGGACCACAAACUUCCAUAGCAGCGGGACAUGCUUUUGGCUCAGGAUUGGCCACCCAGAGUUGGGUCGCCCCUUUAUGCCUCUGCCAGCCCUUCUGGGUCCAGCCUACAGUCAAUCCCUCAUCAUCCUCACUUCCAUCAGUCAACACCAGCUUCUUGUCCAUUGCACUGGAUGUGUCCUUCCAUCUCUAGUCAUUGCUCCUUGCAAGCACUGGGGUUUUGGGGUGCUGCACUUGCCCCGCUUUUUGUGGCUUCUUCUACCCCUUCAGCCACCAUCCCAUCCACUGGGUUAAGGACCCCCAUCCAGGUGUCAACAAGAUUACUAACACAAAAUUUCCUUACUGCAGGUCAGCCUCAUCUCAGGCCAUUCUUCCUCUAGUUCAAAUGAAAGCACCAAAUAUCAAAUAAGACUUAACACUUCUCUAUCUCACUGCAGUGCCUUUACCAGUCUUCCUCAUCUGGCCACCACCCAAGACUGCCUGCUGCAGUUCUGUGUCUUUUCCUUUUUCUCUCUCCCUCUUCCAGGAGCCUGCGUACCUGCAGGACUCUGGUGUCUUCUACUCCCUGCUCCUAACUUGGGGCCGGGCUCACAUAUAGUGAGCGCAGGUCACCUGACUCUGCUUCUUCUGCCUUGGGUUCUCCAGGGCCAUCUGGCCCCACACCUGGUGUUCUUCUGUUUCCUGGCCGCCCCACUCACUGGUGUGCUGCAAUUAGUGAAGAACAGGUGCACUUGUGCAGAGAGAGGGAGAGGGCUGGAGGGAAAGCGGGUUAGCGAAACCACAAAAGAAGGAAAGAGGGGAGGAGAGCAGGAGAAGAAAGCACCCCAGGCUCUGGAGAGAUCAAAGGGCUUCCGCAGACACCCACACCUUCUAUUAAUGGGAGAGGGGGGCAUUACAUCAUAGCAAUAGUAUAUUUUAUAGAUGGAAAACUUUGGAAAGCCAAACAAUGCAAGAGCCAGAGUACUCCUUAGAGGUAGAGCAGGACUGUUUAACUGGCAGUCUUUAAGCAGUUAACGUGCAGCCCAUGGGACCCUGCAACCACUCUUCCACUGCUGUGAAGCAGGGAAGAGCAUGGAGGAAGGUCAUGUAACAUCAGUAGGGGCUACCUAGCCAGAUAUGACCUGUAUAGUAUGUGGCCCAAGGGCCGCAUGUCAGCAUUGGGUGCAGCCCCAAGCUACACUGUAGUUUGACAGCACUGAAGUAGAGGAUUUAACAGGGGAACAGCCGGACACAAAGCCAACCCCUGAUAGUAAGGAGGAGCAAGAAACUCCUGGGGGCCAUCAAAGGCAGCACACCCAGCACAGCCAGCUUAGAAAUGUAUGACUUAGAAAUAUGUGAACACUUGAGUAGAAUCUGAGAGUCACAUUUUUCACAACAAUAUUUCCUAUACAUUGUACAUGCUUUUCCAAAUUUUGUAUUGGGUUUUCAGACUGAGCAAAACCACUAUAAUAAAGGCAACUCAGUUAAUAUUAUUAUUUGUUAUUUGUAUUGUGGCAUCAACUAAUUACUUGUCUAUACCUUGGUAGCCAUGAGUCCCAAGUGGCAUAUUGCCAAACAUGCCCUUCCCACCUAUCCCACUUGCAUACUUCAAACCUGGAAAUAUAGAGGUGAAGCCAUUCAGGUCAUUUCCCCAGCAGCUGCUCUCAAAUACACAGAAGACUACAGUUUUAAGAGUAGCUGUAGAGAGACAACUCAAAACAUUUUUAUUGACACAUACCUACAUUUGCUAUGUGUAACUGGGAGCAAGUUGGCAGAGCAUUUUUGGGACUGUCUUAACUGGAACUCACUACCUGUAGACAAGCUCUAGGGAUCCAAAUCACAGUCUAGGACCUCAAUGCUUUACAAACACAGAAUUAAAAAAUAGGUCUUCCCCCUAAGGGUAGCCGAGUUUCUGGUUUCAAUCAGGGAGCAUGGUUUGGUUUUCAGCCUAAAUCUUAAAUCAGUUUGAUUCACUGAAAACUUUUUAAGACUUGACAUUUCAUUGCAAACAUUCUAUAUGGUUCACUACAUAGUCUUGUUUUCCCAUAUGAUGACUAGUUUCGUUAUCUCAUGUUAAAUAUUACAAAACUUAUACAUGAAUACAUUUAUUUUUGAUUAUAAUUUGAUGAGGAAAAUGUCAGCAAAAUUAAAUCAAAUCAAAGUGGUGUUCCUCAGGGAAAAUAGAUAUACAGAAUAUGGUUGUGAAUAUUAUGGUUUUCCAAAGCAGCAGAAAAUAUCACAAGAAGCUAAGGCUUACCCUUCUGGAAAAUCUCACCUAUCAUGUUUUGUUUGCCCAAUGACUUCUCUGUGGCAUUUACUGCUAUGAUAUUUAUGAAUAUGCGUUCUUUAUUUGAGGUUGGGCUAUAGCUAGUCUGGUCAGAUAUAAAUUGCUAGCAGCUUGAUAUACUAUCAUAUUUGGUUAGCAAUGGUAUUAGAAAGAUAGUAGAAUGGAAGAGAGUGCAUUAACUCCUAUCUCUUUUGCUGAUCAUUCUGCCAUCUUGCUAUUCCCCCAGGUGACAUUUAUAAAAGAAAAUGCAGCAUUGCUAAUGUUUCUGAAAGAGCUUUAACUGUCAGCAUAUCUGAAGUCAGUUGCUCCAUCUGUUCCCCUUAAUUCCGUUUGUCUUUUACUUCUUAAUGCUUAGAUAAUUGUUCAUGCAUUCUAUAAAAUCUAAUAAGUGGAAUCAUGUGUUACAGGAUGGAUGUUACAUUUUGCAUCUUUAUUGAGAUUCAGAGAUAAGAGUUUGGCAUCAGUAAUAGAUUUUUUUUAAUGAGAGGGCACUUUCUUCUGUAGCAAUGUUUCAAGUGAAAAAACAUAGGCUAGAUACAAACAUUCAAAAAUCCCAAAGUGGUAUCAAUCUAAGUUACGCCGUUGUCUGUAAGUGGCAUAUUUUAGAUUGGUAGCAAACAGAACACACAUUUGCCCUUUGGAGUGGUGUAUUUUAUCUCAGUCCUGUCUGUGAUGCCGCACACUGCACAUAUAGGUGUCCCCUCUGCUGCUACCUUGCAGCAAGAGAUCCCAGGGUCAAAAAACCCAUGUAAAAAAAACAGGGUGGUGCAUAUAGCAACACUGUGCGCCACCCAAAACUAGAGCCUGCCCAGCCAGAGCCAUGCUUCAUCUGCCCCAGGAGGCCCCCAAGACUCCAUGUAAGGCUUCUGGGGCCAGCACAGUCACUGGCCCCAGCCUUCCCUACCCCACCCAGGGCACACGUGGCAUGGGUCUAGCCAUCUUCUCAUCUUCAGGAGGACUCUUAUAACUAUUUCUCCUCAUGCACAUCAGCAUACACUACAGUAUUUAGCAUAUAUACAGCCUGGCUAACUCAGUUGGUAGAGCAUAAAACUUUUAAACUCAGGGUCAUGGGUUUGAGCCCUACGGUGGGUAUUGAUUUUCAUGAGUGACUACAUGGUGCUGGGAGCCAGGCUCAGACAUAUGGGGACACAGUUGGUCUUCUCAUCCAUCCUCCUGGUCAGCAGUUGUGGACAGCACCACAGCAACUGUAUUAGAGGUUAACUUGCAGCUUUAGAGCUGGUGCCAUUGUGCAGGGUUUGGAUUCCUUGACCACAACCUGUACUUUCAGGAUAAGGCUUUGUUUGGAUGAGAAAGGAUACAUCUCUCUUCAAGAGGUAAGAGCCUGUUCUCUUACAAGUUAGCUGAUCUCCUAUGCAGGGUUUUAGACUAGGUUCAUCGGGGGACAGGGAUGUUGAUGACCAGGUGAGACCAGGAAUGAUGAACCAUGAGCCAGGUGCUGGAACAGUCCAGGUAAGUACCAAGGGCCCUGCUAAGCAUCAGAAUUAGGAAAUAGUGAGGGCACCUAUGGGGGGGUGUGUGGAUUAGAUGUCUCUGCACUAAUGCUAGGAGCGUGGGGGAGGAGGAACUUGCACUCCUGCUUGCAAAUAAAGAAUUUGACCUGGCUAACAGAAAGCCAGUUGGACCCUACCCACAACUAAGCAGUGAGCAUUGAGGCCUACAGGCUGUACAGACAGGAUAGAGUGGGGAGAAAGGUGCGGGGGGGGGCAUUGCUUUCUAUGUUAAGGAGCAAUAUAUAUCUUCUGUAGCUGAGUUGGGCCUAGAAGAAGGGGAAAUGUAGGUACUAUGGAUCAGAUUACAGGGAGGUUGGGGAGAAAGGGACUUGGUAGUGGGGGUCUAUUACAGACCCCCACACCAGGGGGAUGACUUAGACCAAGAAUUCUCAAAACAGCUCUCAGAGGCAGUGCUCUCAAAGGACCUGGUUGUCAUGGGGGACCUAAACUUCCCAGACAUCUGCUGGGAGGAACAGGCAGCCAGGUCUGCCUGUUCACAUAAGUUUCUAACCUGCUUGCAGGGCCUUCACCUAUCACAUGAGGUAAAUGUUCCCACUAGGGGAAAUGACUUACUAGACUUGGUGCUGACCACGGGGAUGACUUGCUGGGGGAUAUGAAGGUACAAGGUAACCUAGAGGAUAACUAGUAGGUCUGAAGUGCUAGACUGCAGGAAGGCCAACUUCAACAAGCUCAGGAGAUUAGUUAGGGAGGGACUAGCAGGCAAAAGCAUUGGAGAGAUGGGAGUCCAGGAAGGGUGGGCAUUUCUCAAGGGACUGAUCCUGCAGGCGCAGAAAGGGACCAUCCCAGUACACAUGGGGGGGGGGGGAGAGAGAGAGAGAGAAAGCAAAGUGGAAAUGGAGCUUAGGCUGGCAGCAAAGUUAAGGAUAACAAAAAAUCAUUCUUUAAAUAUAUAGGAAGCAAAAAGAAAGUGCAGAGUAACAUAGGGUCCCGUUGAGAUGGACUAGGGCAACUGGAAAUAGAUAUGAUGGCAUGCAUAGAUAUUUAUUUGCAUGCAUUUCUGUUCCUGGACAUAAAUACAAGCAUGCAUUCCAAUGGGACUUUAGGUAAGCAUGAGAUACAUACCAACCCACCAACUGUUAGUGCUGACCCAAAGGGGUACCUACAGGGGUUGGAUGUAUUUAAGUCAAUAGGCCCUGAUGAUCUUCAUCCUAGGGUACUUAGGGAAUUACCUGGAGUCAUAGUGGAAUAUCUAGCACAACUGUUUGGGCACUCCACAAGGGCCCUGGGAACAGAGAGGUUCCAGAGUGCAGGGAGCAACAUUCAGACUGCAUGAGGCGGCCCAGACCCGCAACUCCCCCUGAGAAGUAUUGAGCUCUUGAGAAGGAUUGAGCUACUGGGAGCUUAUGAACACUGCCCUACCCGGCUCCUUAGGACACAUGAGUCAGUGGGAAACUGGUCUCCUACCAGGGAGUGACAUUCAGGGAAAGGUAAGCUCAAUAAAGAGGCGGGAGGAAGAGGCCCUAGAGGAGGGGAACCACUAGAGAACUCUUGUGUCUCAUAUUUUGGAAUGUUUAUUGAUUGUUUGAUAUCCACUGUACAUUUUGGACUGUUUAUUAACUGUUAACUGUACACCUUAUAUUUUAGAGUGUAAUUUAUUAUUAAACUUUACUUUAUAUUAAA